rnacentral:rRNA from 1 species
AUUAAUAUCCCAUAGUAUUGUUUUACUGCAUGGUAGAAUGAUUAAAGCCUUCGGGUGGUAACAGACGGGCAUGCGUAGGAUUAGCUAGUUGGUGAGGUAACGGCUCACCAAGGCGACGAUCCUUAGGGGUUCUGAGAGGAAGGUCCCCCACACUGGCACUGAGAUACGGGCCAGACUCCUACGGGAGGCAGCAGUAGGGAAUAUUGGUCAAUGGGCGAGAGCCUGAACCAGCCAUGCCGCGUGCAGGAAGACGGCGUUCUGCGUUGUAAACUGCUUUUAUCUGGGAAGAAAAAGCCCUUGCGAGGGAAAUUGCCGGUACCAGAGGAAUAAGCACCGGCUAACUCCGUGCCAGCAGCCGCGGUAAUACGGAGGGUGCAAGCGUUGUCCGGAUUUAUUGGGUUUAAAGGGUGCGUAGGCGGCCAAUUAAGUCAGUGGUGAAAUUUUCCGGCUCAACCGGGAGACUGCCAUUGAUACUGGUUGGCUUGAGUUAUGGAGGGGUACAUGGAAUUUAUGGUGUAGCGGUGAAAUGCAUAGAUACCAUAAGGAACACCGAUAGCGAAGGCAUUGUACUGGCCAUAAACUGACGCUGAGGCACGAAAGCGUGGGUAGCGAACAGGAUUAGAUACCCUGGUAGUCCACGCCGUAAACGAUGAUCACUCGCUUUAAAGUACGUAGUACUGUGAGGCCAAGCGAAAGCGUUAAGUGAUCCACCUGGGGAGUACGGUCGCAAGAUUGAAACUCAAAGGAAUUGACGGGGGUCCGCACAAGCGGUGGAGC